UACGAAGGGGGCUAGCGUUGCUCGGAAUUACUGGGCGUAAAGCGCACGUAGGCGGCUUUGCAAGUCAGAGGUGAAAGCCCGGGGCUCAACUCCGGAAUUGCCUUUAAGACUGCAUCGCUAGAAUUGUGGAGAGGUAAGUGGAAUUCCGAGUGUAGAGGUGAAAUUCGUAGAUAUUCGGAAGAACACCAGUGGCGGAAGGCGACUACUGGACACGUAUUGACGCUGAGGUGCGAAAGCGUGGGGAGCAAACA
rnacentral:rRNA from 1 species